rnacentral:rRNA from 1 species
UACAGAGGGGGCAAGCGUUGUUCGGAAUUACUGGGCGUAAAGCGUGCGCAGGCGGUUUUGCAAGCCGGAUGUGAAAUCCCCGGGCUCAACCUGGGAAUGGCAUUUGGGACUGCAAGGCUCGAGUGCGGCAGAGGAGACUGGAAUUCCUGGUGUAGCAGUGAAAUGCGUAGAUAUCAGGAGGAAUACCGAUGGCGAAGGCAGGUCUCUGGGCUGACACUGACGCUCAUGCACGAAAGCGUGGGGAGCAAACAGG